rnacentral:lncRNA from 10 species
GUGACUUCCCCCGUGGUAUUCUUGUGAUAGUGAGCAGGAUCUCACAAGAUCUCAUGGUUUUAUAAUGGGUUUCCCCUUUCACUUGACUUUCAUUCUUCUCCUUCCUGCUGCCAUGUGAAGAAGGAUGCAUUUGCUUUCUCUUUUGCCACGAUUGUAAGUUUCCUGAGUCCUCACCAGCCCUGUGAAACCGUGAGUCAGUUAAACUUCUUUUCUUUAUCAAUUACUCAGUCUCAGGCAGCUCCUUUUUUAUUCCAAUAAUCACUUUAUUUUUUAAAUUUCAUCUUUUAAUCCUCAAAACACUUUUACGUAUUAGAGUCAACCUCUUAAGUAGCAUUUCUUAAGUUACUCUCGUACAGGUGGUAUUUGUUUACAUGAGUAAGUUCUUUAGUGGUGAUUUGUUAGAUUUUUGGUGUACCCAUCAUAAAAAGGAGCCCACAUAGCCAAAGCAAGACUAAGCAAAAAAACAAAUCUGAAGGCAUCACAUUACUUGAUUUCAAACUCUAUUAUAAGGUCAUAGUGUCACCAAAACAGCAUGGUACUGGUCUAAAAAUGGCACAUAGACCAAUGGAACAAUAUAGGGAACACAGAUAUAAACCCAAAUACUUACAGCCAACUGAUCUUUGACAAAGCAAGCCAAAACAUAAAGUGGGGGAAGGACCCCCUUUUCAACAAAUGGUGCUGGGAUAAUUGGCAAGCCACAUGUAGGAGAACAAAACUGGAUGCUCAUCUCUCACCUUAUACAAAAAUCAGCUCAAGAUGGAUUAAGUAUUUAAACUAAGAACUGAAACUAUAAAAAUUCUAGAAGAUAACAUUGGAAAAACCCUUCUAGACAUUGGUUUAGGCAAGGAUUUCAUGACAAGAACCCAAAAGCAAAUGCAAUAAAAUCAAAGAUAAAUAACUGCGACCUAAUUAAAGAGCUUUUGCAUGGCAAAAGGAACAGUCAACAGGGUAAACAGACGAACCACAGAGUGGGAGAAAAUCUUCACAAUCUAUACAUCUGACAAAGGACAAAUAACCAGAAUCUACAAUGAACUCAAAUCAGUAAGAAAAAUACAAACAAUCCCAUCAAAAAGUGGACUUAGGACAUGGAUAGACAAUUCUCAAAAGAAGAUACACAAAUGGCCAACAAACAUAUGAAACAAUGUUCAACAUUGGGCAGUUCUUUAUACCAGCAUGAGAAUGGACUAAUACAGCGACUAUUCUAUAAAAUGCUUGGCAGUUUCCUAUAAAGUUGAACGUGCAGUUGAACAUAUAAAAAAGUAAAUAAAUGAAUAAAUAAAGCCCUUCCCUACCCUUUGACCUAGCAAUUAUAUUCCUCAGGAUUUAUCCAAGAAAUAUUAAAAUAUGUCUACAAAAGGCCGGGCUCAGUGGCUAACGCCUGUAAUCCCAGCACUUUGGGAGGCUGAGGCGGGUGGAUCACGAGGUCAGGAGUUUGAGACCAGCCUGGCCAAUAUGGUGAAAUUCCAUCUCUACUAAAAAUACAAAAAUUAGCGAGGUGUAGUGGCAUGUGCCUGUAGUCCCAGCUACUUGGGAGGCUGAGACAGAAUAAUUGCUUGAACCCAGGAGGCGGAGAUUGCAGUGAGCCAAGAUUGUGCCAUUGCACUACAGCUGUAAAUACAAAAUUCAAUCUACAGCAGGAUAGAUACACACUGUGCAUCAAAUUCGUACAAUGAAAUACUACUCAUCAAUAAAAAGAAGAAAAACUGAUUUCUUUACUAUUUGUAAAUCUCAUAGAUAAUUUGAUGAACAAAAUAAGCCAAAGACAAGAAAGUACAUAUGAUAAGAUUUCCCUUAUACGAAGUUCUAAAGUAUUCAAAACUAAUUUAUAGUGAAAAGAUAAUCUAACUGUGGUUGCCUAGGGUUUGCGGGGGUAUAGGGAGAUAUAAUUUACCCCUAUGGCAAAUGAGAGAGUUCUUUGGUUUGAAGGAAAUUUUCUAUAUCUUAUUAUUGUUAUUCAUUGCACGAGUAUAUUCACUUGUUAAAACUCAUUAAACUCAGUGAAUUUCAAUGUGUGUAAAGAAGUAGACAGGUAGUAAACUCUAGUUAAUAUAUUGAAAAUAAUGAAAUCCAUGUUUCUCACUGCUGAGAGAGUUUCAGUAUUGGAAAGGGGAAAACUAAUAUAUACUAUGUGAUGUUGGAUUGAAAAUAUCAAUAUUUAUUUACAUCAUAUAUAUUUGUGUGUGUGUGUGUGUGUGUGUGUGUGUGUGACAGAGAGAGAGAAAGAGAGACAGAAAGAGAGGGAGAGAGAGAAGGGAGAAAGAAGAAGAGGAAAGGCAGGAGAGAAAAAAAAGAAUAAGCACACCCAGCAUUCAUAUUUAAAUACCAUUUCCCACUAAAAGGAUCCAUGGCUUAAUGGAGAAAUGGUUACCAUUUUCAGGGCUAGAAAAGAGCAAUAUAAGCCUGGAGCAUCUUGUUGCAUUGAGGAAGAUGAGCUCAAAGAAUUAGGGAAAUAUGUCAAAAUGCACAAGUCAGUUUGACAGGGCUCCCUCUUGUCAUAUUCAAAGUAAAUAUUGAAAGGAUUGGAUUGAAAUAACUCAAUAAAGUAAUAAAUCAUAAACCCAUACUCAUAGAAGUAAAUAAAUGAAUAAAUAAAUAAAGCCCUUCCCUACACUAGAGUGCCAAAUAAUAAGCAUAGCAGAAAUGAUAUAUUUGAAAUUAACAGUGGAUGCUAAACUUACAGGGUAGUUGUUGAUUGGAAAGACAUUGUUUCAAAGUAUCUCCAAAAAUCUACUCAUUAACUUCAAAGGAAAAAGUGUAAUAAUAUCAUUCAAUAAUGUAGGUAAUACCACCUGAACCAAAAUAACAAACAUAGCAUAAUCAAAAUUGGGACAAACAAAAUUGUGUCUAAUAAGAAACUCAGAGAAAGACAAAACAUCAUUACUUCUGUUAAUCUAAUCAUGAGGAGGCACUGGACAGACCUAAGGUGGGAGAUAGUCUACAAAAUAACCAGGCCUGUCCUCUUAAAAAAUGUUAAACUCAAUACAUAGAAAGAAAGACUGAAAUAUGACAAUUAAAUACAAUAUGCAAUUGUGGAAUUUGUUUCUGGAAAAGAAAAAUAGCUAUAAAAUACAUUAUUAUGAAACUUCAUUGAAUAUAAUAUUGUCUGUAGAUCGGAUAAUUUCCUUAUUUUUCCUAGUAUUUAAAAUUUUUCCGUGGUUUUGUAAGAAAUUGUAUAAUUUCUUAAGAAAUAUGAACUAAAUUAUUUAAGGUUAAAGAAUCAGAAUACUUUCAGCUUACUAUAAGAUACAUACAAAAUCUGUAUGUAUAAAAUUAAUACACUAUAAGAUACAUACAAAAUCCUGUAUGUGUAAAAUUAAUACACAGAUAUGUAAAUGGUCUAAAAUGAAACAAGCAUUGCAUUUGGAUAAAGGGUAUAUAAGACUUCCUGACACGAUUCUAGCAACUUUCCUGUAAAUUUGAAGCUAUUUCAAAAUAUAAACUAUGCCCCCUGUGAUGGUUAAUAUUAAGGAUCAACUUGAUUGAAGAAUUCAAAGUACUGUUCCGGGGUGUAUCUGUGAGGGUGUUACCAAAGGAGAUUAACAUUUGAGUUAGUGGGCUGGGAGAGGCAGACCCACCCUCAAUCCAGUUAGGCACCAUAUAAUCAGCUGCCAGCCCAGCUAGAAUAAAGCAGGCAGAAGAACAUGAAAGGACUUGACUUGCUGAUUCUUCUGGCCUUCAUUUUUCUCCUGUGCUGGAUGCUUCCUGCCUUCGAACAUCAGACUCCAAGUUCUUCAGCUUUUGGACUCUUGGACUUACAUCAAUGGUUUGCCAGGGGCUCUUGAGCCUUUGACCACAGACUGAAGGCUUCACUGUCUGCUUCCUACUUUUGAGGUUUUGGGACGCAAACUAAUCCACCACUGGCUUCCUUGCUGUUCACCUUGCAGACAACCUACCGUGGGACUUCAUCUUGUGAUGGUGGAUCAUGGCUUAUUUGAGCUGUUGCUCCUCAGUGGACAUCAUAGGAUCUUGCAGAUGUGUAUCAAUCCUUCGCAAGUAGGUGCCCAGGAAGUCCUGGAACUGAGUCCUGGGGCAAGGUUCUGGAAGUUGGGACAAGAAGGCUGAACCUCGCUGGUGAUUCAGAUGGAUCAUGAGGAUCUUUCAACAAAGCUAAGUUCCCGUCUUUUAACGCAGUUAUUCUCAUACUUUUAUACUGAAAUAUCCAGAAUAGCAAAUGAGUUAAAUAUGUUUUCUGUGGGGUUCUGUACAAAGAAGAUUUAGAGCUUUAUGAACCUAAAAUAACAUAUCACAAGGAGAAAAUUUACUUGAAGUGGGAGACUUGGCUUAAAAGCAUCUAAUAUAAAUUGUAUAUUAUAUUCAAUAAUACAAAAGCAAUGCUUUAUUUAGAAUGAAUUAAAAUGCAUGCUUCAGACAAAAUGCAUGAUGUUUAGCUUUUGAUUUACUGAAUAUACUAUUCAACAGAUGUUUGAGUUACAUAGUUUGAGGAGCACAGGCCUUUGGUAUUGAUGGCUCCUGUUAAAAUAAAAACAUGUUUUCUGAGAGCAUAAUCAUAUGAAACCAGGAGCACAUAUUAACAUAAAACUCAAAUCACUUCCCCUGACUUUCUUCUUUCAAAUGUAAAGAAAGUGGGAAACAGGACAGAUGAAUUUGAAGAAACAGAAGAGCUCAGGAAAGUUCAAAGCAUGAAGCAAACUCAAAAGUAUAUCUAAAUACCUAGGGAGCACCUUCAAAGCACAAGGUACCUGAAGAUGAAACGGCAGAAGUGAAAAGAAUUGCUCGUGUAGUACAGGGCUAAAAUUGUACCUGAAGCAUCUCUGCUGCUAUCCCAGGAGAAGAAGAGUCGACAGUAGCUAUGAAUAAUCAUGGAAAUUUCAAUGGAAACAACAUAUCACAUUCUCUGUCUACUACAUAAGUAUGUCUUUUUUAUUUGUAAAUAGAUCAUAUUUUGCACAUAAUUAGGUAAUACCCACAUAUCUCAAUUUGGCUUAGGAAUUAUAUUGAAAGAUAGAAUUGCAUAAGGGUAGGGAUUUUACUUUUAAAUUAUUUUCAUGUCUCCAUGGAUUGGCUCUGUGCUUUACACCCAGUAGCUGUGAAACAAGUACUUAUUUAAUGAUGAAUGAAUAAAUAAAUAAAUAGUUAAAUGCAGCAACAAAAAUGUUGGUAGAUAUAUAGGAUUGUAGAAUCUAAUUGCUUAGUAGGAUCAUCAAGUUCUACCCAAAUUUGGUGUGGCAAACAGAACAAUGGUCCCUUAAGGAUGGCCUAGUCCUAACCUCCCAAACCUGGAAUAUGUUACCUUAUGUAACAAAGAGACUUUGCAGAUGUAAUUAAGUUAAUGAUCUUAAGACAGAAAUAUUAUUCUAAGUGAACUCAAUGAAAUUACAAUGAACAAUGUUCCUUAAAAGAGGAAGGCAAAAGUUCAGAAUGAAACACACAGACACACAUAAAGUGGCUACGAAAGCAGAAGUAGUGAGAGAUUUGAAGAUGCUACCUUACUAGAUUCAAAGACAGAGGAAGGGGUUAAAAUCUGAGGAAAUCAGGCAAGGCAGCCUUUCGAAGCUGCAGAAGAUGAGGAAAUGAAUUCUCCCUAGAACUUCCAGAUAGAAACAGCCCUACUGAUGCCUUGACAUUAGCUCAGUGAAACGUAUUUUCAGACUCUAACUUCCAGAUCUGUAGGAGAUAAAUUUGUGUUGUUUAAGCUACUACAUUUGUGGCAGUUUGUCAAAGUAGCAAAAGGAAACGUAUAUUUGGUAGGCAUCAGAAUUUCCUGAGCAAUAUAGUGUGAUUACCUUUGAAAAUUCUACUCAGCAGUCCUGGAAUUGCAGCCUGAAAUUUGAAAUUUACUAAGUGCUCCCACUAUAUCUGAGUCAGGAAUUACCUAGGAAACCAUGAUAUAUUGCAUUACACUAAUUUUGUACUUGAGAAAAAGCACAAUGUUAAAAUCUCAAGAACAUUAAUAUAGACUUAAGUACAAUUUAUCAUGUAAAAACAUAUUUGAAAAAGUAAGCCUGAAAAAAAGAAACAACUGAACUAUUAACACUAUAUUCUCUAACUAUAUAUUGAUUUUCUCCUUUUGCUUUUACACAGCGAACCACAUAUACUUUCACAGAGGGUGAUUUGGAUAAUAUGUUCCAUGCAUUGCUCCAAGCAGAAAUUCUCAAUCUAUCAUUUCUGCUUGUAUUAUUUUACACCUCUUAAAGACAUUCACAUUCCAUCACAGGGAGCCAAAAUCAGCCUGUUAUAUCUCUGUUUGCGAAUACCGCAAUACUUACUUUACUUUCUCCUGAAUAGAUUGUUAGUGGUUUUUAUUAUCUCCUGUAAAGAGUGUGAGAAAUGCAUGUUGCAAGGACACUUUUGUUUUAUUCACAUUAUUCUACUGAAUCAUGCUAACCAUAGCAUUACAUCUAUUUAUCUAUCUAGCUAUUAAACAUAUUCAGAAUACCUAACAACUUUAGGGGCAUUCAGUAUAUAGAAUAUGCUAGUAUUUGUUAUUUUCUAAAAAUUAAUAAUUAAGAAUGUCAUUCUAUUAUUGCAUUAGUGACUUAGUUAAAAUUUAGACCAUUAACAAAAAAGAGAUGAAAAAAAAAACAAAAAACAUUAGGCACUAAAGGAGUCCUCAGCAAUGGCUUUUUCAAAAUGAUAAUUUGGCAUCAUAAAGCGGGUAUUUGGUAACCAUACUCUAUUACAGAACAGCAAAUGGAAUUUAUGUUCUAUUUUCCCAUAUCCACUUCUUUACUAUAAUUUAGCAAUCAUUGUAAUUCUUACUAUAUAGUUAUUUCAAAUUUGAUAUGAUUCUUAAAGAUGCUCUGAUAGUAACAUUUUCUUUAGUGCCUCAUGUCACUCUCUCUCUCUUUCUUUAAAAAAUAAGUUGUCUUUACAGGAACAAAUUUCACUAUAGAUGCCUGACUUUCUCCUUUCAAAAUGAUUAUUGAAACUCAUUGAGAUCUGGCACUCUGUGUUUCUUAUUUUUAUUCCGUACGUAGGAAAAAAAGAACUCAGAGACACACAUGGUUUUAAGAGGCUGUGACUGUCAACUCUGCCCCUUCCUAUUGAAUAUUGAAGCCUUUAUGUUAUUGAAUACAUUGAAUAUAUUGCAAAUUGGAACCCCAUUAAUAGGAUUCUAAGAAGCCUUACUACUAGAUCUGGAUUCUAAGCCUCCUUGCUUGUAUGAUAGGUUAUUGUCUGAGACAUUAAGCAACUAGACCUAUGUUGGGACACUUGCUUCACAAGUAUUGAAGCUUUUAGAAGAAAUCACACAUACUGUGAUUUAAGGAAGCCUGGCAGUUACAACAGAAAAAAGAAGCUGAUUCAUGUAGAAUGUCUUGAAAUUUUGUCACUGGUAAUUUUGGCAAGAACAUUAUUAAUGUUAAGAUUUGUUUAUAACCAAUGAGAACACAUGGACACAGGGAGGGGAACAUCACACACCAGGGCCUGUCGGGGUUGGAGGACCAGGGGAGGGAUAGCAUUAGGAGAAAUACCUAAUGUAGAUGAUGAGUUGAUGGGUGCAGCAAACCACCAUGGCACGUGUAUAGGCAUACACUGUAACAAACCUGGAUGUUCUGCACAUGUAUCCCAAAACUUAAAGAAUAAUUUUAAAAAGUUUUUUUUAAAGAUUUGUUUAUAAAAUGGCAAAUUGCUUAAUCAGGGGAAUCCUCAUUGAGUUGAGAAGUAUGAGCUGUGAAGUAUGUUUUGCUGGAAAUAAACUUGUAAGCCGCUACAUAUAUAUUCUCCAAACAGAAAUAAACGCAAACAUCAUUUACCUGGAGGACAGGUUGAGAAUGAGUUAUAGCCUAACAUGACAUACAUAAGAAACUAAAAAAAAAAAAAAAAAAAAAAAAAAAAAAACAGAAUGAGGAUGAUACAUGAUCCCAAAAUAGAAGUAAGCAUUUUUUGGACAGAAAAGAUUCUGAAAAACUUGUGUCCCAAUGGUUCAUCCUUGAAUUGUAUCAUUGCAACUACCCCUCCCUCAUACAUAUACCAUGUCCUCUUCAUGAUUCUGAGAAAUUUUGAAGACCAGAUUCAAGGGGGUUCACAAAUGCCACUAAGACCUUCAUGUUACUAAGAAUGAUUAGUAUAUCAGCCUGGAGAAGCACUUGCUACAGGUUAGGCAAAUUAGGGUCCCCUUAUAGAAGAUGAUUAAAGUAGACAGAAGGAAUAAAAUUAACGUAUUAUUCAAUAAAUCUUCCUUAUGUCUCAUCUGGCUAAAUAAAAGUCCUGGGAAUAUAUUUAUAACUAACCAUUAUGCAAGUUCUUUCAACCCAAAAUAUUUUCUCCCUAUAUUAACUCUAUGUACUCCCCUACACACACACAUAUAUCUCCUAAACUUUUUAAACUAUUCUAAGUUAUGUGCUAGGAAUUGUACUAGGCAUUUUACAAAUAUAAAUUCACGCUAUUUGUACAUUUAGAAAAGUAAGAUACAAGAUUAUUUUUAAUCAAUAUUGACAAAAUUUAUCUUCUUUUUAAACAUAUUGACUAAAUAGUUCAGAGUUCAAAGAUGAAUUAUGAUAAAGAGUGUUUAGCAAAAUGUUUACACAUAAAAUACUUUGAACUCACUAGCAAUGAAGCAAAUAUUAUAGCCCGAAGACUCUCAGGAAAUUUAAUCCAGAAUGGAGGAUACUAAGUGAUGUAUGGAACUGCUUAUUCUACUUAAACAUCAAAACUCCACAUGAAUCUUCGAAGUGUAUCUCUGCGCCUUAAAUGAAAACACAGUUUUGACAUUGUUUAUUGCCUCUUGAGAGGAAACUCUGCUCAAUUCAUAAGUGAAUCAUGAAUUACCCAAUUUUUUCUUCCAUGGGCUUCUCUCAGGGUGCCCCUUGGUUUAACUUCAUUAUGUACAAACAUGGUAUUACCUUCCAUAACACAAUAUUUCAUAUACAGAGUGAUAUAUCAUUUAGAUGACUCUUUAGACCAUCGUUUUGAAAGCUACAGUUUUCUGAGCUAACAAUUAUAUUAUAGCUAUAUAGAAAUAAUAAAACCUUUUUUUUUUCUUUUUUUGAGAUGGAGUCUCACUAUGUCGCCCAGGCUGGAGGGCAGUGGCGCGAUCUCAGCUCACUGCAACCUCCGCCUCUCAGGUUCAAGCGAUUCUCCUGCCUCAGCCUCCCGAGUAGCUGGGUCUGCAGGUGCGUGCCACCAUGCCCAGCUAAUUUUUUGUAUUUUUAGUAGAGACGGGAUUUCACUCUGUUAGCCAGGCUGGUCUCCAUCUCCUGACCUCGUGAUCCGCCCACCUCGUCCUCCCAAAGUGCUAGUAUUACAGGUGUGAGCCACUGCGCCAGGCCAGUAAAAUCUUUCUUAAUUAAACAGCCCUAUAUUGUGCAACUAUAAUAGAAUAUGUGAUAACUAAAUUCAAAGGGUGAGAGAAUCAUAAAAGUUAUCGUACAUGCCUAAACUUAUGUACCAAAAUGUGCUAUGUACAUGCAUACAACUAAGUGUACUAGGCUUUCAUCAGAAGUCCCUUUUAGUUAUCUGCAGCUGCUUUAUUCCUUUUUGUAGAUCCCUUAUAAUUAUAAAAAUAUUUUUAUAUACAUUCGAAAUAUCUUAUGAUUAUAUAUAGUUACACAUAUUUGAUAUAUAUUUAUAUAUGUAUUACAGCGAUGUAUUUCUGAUCAGUGUUUUCUAACAACCACAAAUAUGUGGAAUAUAACUUAUACAAAAAACAUUUUGGAUGACAUAACAACUCAGAAGUAAUAAUUUUCCACACCAAUGACCUGUCUCUACUUCUAAUAUAAAGAAGGCAUCAAGAAGUAUGCUUUCUUAAAUAUGCUCCCCUUCAGCUGACAGUUUAUUGGCUACCAAGACCUAUAGUGAGGAGCAAAUAUACAUUUCUUUAUUUAGAAUAUUGACCCUUGGGAGAGGUGUAUUUCAAAUGCAUUUUUUUUUUUUUUGCAGGCUUGAGUGGUUAAGCUUUUUAACGAUAUAAUUCUACAGAGAUCAUUUCUUCCAAUUUUCUUUAAUUUUCAAGUACUGGAAGUCCUACCCAGUCUAACUAGGCAAGAAGAAGAAAUAAAAGUCUUCUGAAUCAGAUAAGAAGUAAAAUUGACUCUGUUUGCAGGUGACAUGAUCUUAUUUAUAGAGAACCAUAAAGACUAUUGGAAAAAACUCUCAAAGGAGGCACAUGACUGAUGCCUGAUCCAAUGUCAGUGAGUUCUCCUGGUCCAGGGUACAUUAUCCACCUGAAUUGAAGAAGCAGAACCAGCCAGAAGAGGAAACACUGUAAUAAAAUUAAGAUCUGGACUCUAAUUCUGUUUUAUUUUCUCAACGUAUAAACCAUGAGUAAAUUGUUAAUCUUAAAAGAAAAUGUUUUUCUUCCAUUGUUCCUUUGUAAAGUGGACAUGAUCACACCUGUGUUCAGAAGGAACUGAUUCAGAGCUUGGUGCUGAAGGUAACAAAGCUAUCUGUGUUUGAUCAAGAUUCAAACCCUCAAUGUCUGAGAAAAGCAUCAUAUUCUUUAUCCAAGUGGACUUUGUAUAGAUGCAACAAAAUAUUCAUUCAAAUAUUUUCUAAAGUGCCAGGUCGCUUGAAGUUUACUUAUACUACUAUAGAUUUUAAGCUGCAUUUCACUGUAGAUAAUGCAAAGACAAUUAAAAGAACAGACAAUAAGCAGAUAAAGAGGCAUUAUUUUAUUACUAUGAAAGUUAAUAUGUCAUUUGUCACUGAAAUAGACAUGUCUUUAAUUUGCUUGGCAAAAGAGUGAGUAUAAGGUCUGAAUGUUUAAUCUCCCUAAAGUGUUCAUCACAUUGCAACAGAUUUAAUCUAUUCUCCAUCCAGAAAGACCACCUACAAACAAAGCAAUUACAAUUUGUUGUUUUACAGAUAAUAAAAUAAUUAGGUAUGCCAAGCAUAGGAAAGUAUGUAAUUUUACUGCCGUUUGUAAAAGAUGAUUAGAAGGAAUGCUCCACGGGCACUUCAGAAUUAAUUGAGAGGAACCAGGUACAGAUUUGAUUACUGGUAAUGCUUUUUGGAAGAAUCAGGAAUUUAGAAGCUAUUAAUAAUGAUUGUAAAGAUAAAGUUGGAGAAAGACGUGUUACAGAUGGGAAAAAGUUAUUGUUUUGCAGGGAAGAGUACAGAAUCACCCUUUAUGAUGCUUUGAAAUUCAGUCUAUCUUUGGUUUGGUAUAGAAAUUUGCAGAAAAUAGGUAACUAAAGAUACAUCAUAAGCAGGUUAACAAAUAAUGAUGAAACUGAAAAAACAUUUAUAAUGCUAAUAUUAUAACAACAACAAUUAUUAAUAUGGAGAAAACUACCAAAAGAGGCUGAAAUAUAAGGAGACAUCUUUUUUGGCUUAUUUUGUUUUUGUGUAAUGACCUGAACAAAUUCUCUUUGUAAUUUAAGUAGAAAUAAAAGCUUUAAAACCCUCUGAGGAUAUUUUAGUAGAAUCCUUCAAUGUCCUCCAAAAUCCAUUCUUUAUAGGCAGUAACAGUAUUAAAAAAAAUCAGUUUUCUAGCUUGAAAUACCUAUGGUAAUACUGUGGAUUAUUUUUAGUCAAUUCUAACUGAUGUUAUUUUUGAGAACAUAAAAGAAGUUUAUUGUGUGAUAAAAUUGGAAACCACAAGAUAUGUAUUAUGUCAGAAAGUGAUGGCAGAUAAAUGUCUGAUAAGAAUAUCUAUUAUAAAGGGAGAUGGAACUGAAAUAUAAUAGACAAGAGCCAUUUAAGAAAAUAAAUUACAUCUUAUUCAACAUUUUUGUGGUCUACCUCUUUGCCUCAGAUAUUAUAUGCUCUAUUUCUGUUCAUAAAAUGUUAUUUAAUGCAGUAUAAAGGUUCUCAUCUACCAUUCUAUAUUUUUUUGCAUCACAGCACAAUAUUAUCUGAAGACUGCCUGCUGAUAGGAGAGCAUGUUCAUUCAAUUUUUUAAGCAAUAUUAUUUUCUUUCGGAGAUAUGCAUAAAGAAGAC